AUUGAACGCUGGCGGCAUGCUUUACACAUGCAAGUCGAACGGCAGCGCGGGCUUCGGCCUGGCGGCGAGUGGCGAACGGGUGAGUAAUACAUCGGAACGUGCCCAGUAGUGGGGGAUAGCUCGGCGAAAGCCGGAUUAAUACCGCAUACGACCUGAGGGUGAAAGCGGGGGAUCUUCGGACCUCGCGCUAUUGGAGCGGCCGAUGGCAGAUUAGCUAGUUGGUGGGGUAAAGGCCUACCAAGGCGACGAUCUGUAGCUGGUCUGAGAGGACGACCAGCCACACUGGGACUGAGACACGGCCCAGACUCCUACGGGAGGCAGCAGUGGGGAAUUUUGGACAAUGGGCGAAAGCCUGAUCCAGCAAUGCCGCGUGUGUGAUGAAGGCCUUCGGGUUGUAAAGCACUUUUGGCGGGAACGAAAGGGACUGCGCCAAUA
rnacentral:rRNA from 1 species